GAUCCCUAGUGUGUAGUGAUGGAGAAGGUGGAAGGGAUGUUGCGGAAGAUGAAUCUGUCGGAAGCGGAGAAGAAGGGAGUGAAGGUGGGGUGGAGAAGAUCCAUGCAGAAGCAGAAGGAGGAUGCUGACCUGAAGGCGAUGGGGAAGCUAAUGUCCGACAAGCCGGGAUACACGGGAGGGAUGGAGGUGGCGCUGGGGAAAGCUUGGUGCCCAAUGAAGAGAUUGGAAGUGAAGGACAUGGGGGAGAAUAGAUUUCUGUUUGUGUUCCAGGAGGAGAUGGGGAGGAGGAAGGCGGUGGAGAAUGGUCCCUGGACGUUCAAUAAGGAUCUGCUUGUGGUAGAGGAAUUUGAUCCGGCCAAGACCAUAGACGAAUACACUUUUGAGAAGGUCCCAAUUUGGGUUCGCAUAUACAAUGUGCCGCUGGGGAUGAUGUGCAAGGAUCUGGCUGAG
rnacentral:rRNA from 1 species